ACAGCAGCAGCCACGGUAAUACGAAGGGUGCAAGCGUUACUCGGAAUUACUGGGCGUAAAGCGUGCGUAGGUGGUGGUUUAAGUCCGUUGUGAAAGCCCUGGGCUCAACCUGGGAAUUGCAGUGGAUACUGGGUCACUAGAGUGUGGUAGAGGAUAGUGGAAUUUCCGGUGUAGCAGUGAAAUGCGUAGAGAUCGGAAGGAACAUCUGUGGCGAAGGCGACUAUCUGGGCCGACACUGACACUGAGGCACGAAAGCGUGGGGAGCAAACAGGAUUAGAUACCCGCGUAGUCCCUGUCUCUUAUAC
rnacentral:rRNA from 1 species